rnacentral:lncRNA from 1 species
CGGCAUUCAGCUGUUUUUUUUUUAAAAAGGAAUUUUAUUCAUUAACAACAUAUUACAUGUCGAAGCAUGUAUAACACAGAGCUUUGGGAGUUACAAAGGUGCCUAAAAGGACAGCCCAUAGUCCCGUGAAGAUCAUUAGUACAAGAGAUGAUAGGACUGUUGUUAUCUUUUUUUUAACAUCCUUAGCUAAUUGAUGAGCUAAAGUAUUGUUGUCUCUCGGAGUGAAAAUCAUCCUGG